rnacentral:lncRNA from 1 species
GCGCAGUUACCCGAAAGCAGAAGUCCGGGGCAUGGGGCCAGCCAUGGGGCUGCUGCUCCGUAGCCUCCUGCUAUUGGCUCCAGGGGGUCUGUGGCUCUCCUCCGGCCAUGUGCAGCUGGAGGGCUUGGUGGGUGAGUCCGUGUAUUUCCCCGCCCUGCGCCCCGUGGCCAGGGACAUCGUCCGCAUCCUGUGGUUUUCGGAAAGGCAGGGCACUCACAUCGCAGAGGCCAAACCCCAGGCCCAGGUGUUCAACGUCAAUUUCUUACCCAACUUCAGCCACCGGCUGGCCAUCCACGCCGGGAACCUCUCCCUGGAGAUCCGCGCUCUGCGGCUGGAGGACCAGGGGCCGUACCGCGCCGUUGUGGAUAUCGCCUCAGACCCUACCAAGCCCAGGGCGUUCUCCUAUGAGCUGUCAGUGCGAGAACGUGGGCAGGAAGGGGACAUUGGCAAAGGAGGAACCACGGACCCCCCAGGAGGCGGAGGACGGAGAACAUCGACGGGCCCCCCAGCAGGAGGACGGAGAACAUCGACGGGCCCCCCAGCAGGAGAACGGAGAACAUCGACGGGUCCCCCAGCAGGAGAACGGAGAACAUCGACGGGUCCCCCAGCAGGAGGACGGAGAACAUCGACGGGCCCCCAGGAGGCGGAGCGCCUGUGACCACAGGCGGGAGGACCACGCUGGCGGGAGGUGAUGAGGGAGGGCAGGAGGGCGGGGGGAGCCAGGGAUCGUGCCACUGCACUCUGAAGGGUUAUAUCAUCGCGGCCGUCUAUGUGCCCCUCUGCAUCGUGGUGGCUAUCGUCCACGUGAAGACGAGGAGCUAACGGAAGAGCCAGGGUCCCUGGGUGAGAGAAGAGAAAGGGCAGCUGCUGGGGCAGGCAGGGUUACCACCUGUCCGGGGCUUCCUGGACAUCACCUCUUUUUUCAUCCUCUGUCCUCCAGCACCCCGUAAAUAUCUUCUCCAGUACCCCCCCAGGUACCUCCGCCA